UCUCACUACCUGUUUUAAUUU
rnacentral:piRNA from 1 species